GAUUGGUGUGUUGGAACACACGAGAUUUGUGGAAAGUCUAGUGCAUGUUCCUCUCCCCCAAUUGUUUCCCACCUCCGUUCGUCAACUCGUUCGACGGACGGGAGAAAAAAAAACAG
rnacentral:ribozyme from 1 species